GAUGAACGCUGGCGGCGUGCCUAAUACAUGCAAGUCGAGCGAACAGAUAAGGAGCUUGCUCCUUUGAAGUUAGCGGCGGACGGGUGAGUAACACGUGGGUAACCUACCUAUAAGACUGGGAUAACUUCGGGAAACCGGAGCUAAUACCGGAUAACAUUUAGAACCGCAUGGUUCUAAAGUGAAAGAUGGUUUUGCUAUCACUUAUAGAUGGACCCGCGCCGUAUUAGCUAGUUGGUAAGGUAACGGCUUACCAAGGCGACGAUACGUAGCCGACCUGAGAGGGUGAUCGGCCACACUGGAACUGAGACACGGUCCAUACUCCUACGGGAGGCAGCAGUAGGGAAUCUUCCGCAAUGGGCGAAAGCCUGACGGAUCAACGCCGCGUGAGUGAUGAAGGGUUUCGGCUCGUAAAACUCUGUUAUUAGGGAAGAACAAAUGUGUAAGUAACUGUGCACAUCUUGACGGUACCUAAUCAGAAAGCCACGGCUAACUACGUGCCAGCAGCCGCGGUAGUACGUAGGUGGCAAGCGUUAUCCGGAAUUAUUGGGCGUAAAGCGCGCGUAUGCGGUUUCUUAGUCUGAUGUGAAAGCCCACGGCUCAUCCGUGGAGGGUCAUUGGAAACUGGGAAACUUGAGUGCAGAAGAGGAAAGUGGAAUUCCAUGUGUAGCGGUGAAAUGCGCAGAGAUAUGGAGGAACACCAGUGGCGAAGGCGACUUUCUGGUCUGUAACUGACGCUGAUGUGCGAAAGCGUGGGGAUCAAACAGGAUUAGAUACCCUGGUAGUCCACGCCGUAAACGAUGAGUGCUAGGUGUUAGGGGGUUUCCGCCCCUUAGUGCUGCAGCUAACGCAUUAAGCACUCCGCCUGGGGAGUACGACCGCAAGGUUGAAACUCAAAGGAAUUGACGGGGACCCGCACAAGCGGUGGAGCAUGUGGUUUAAUUCGAAGCAACGCGAAGAACCUUACCAAAUCUUGACAUCCUUUGAAAACUCUAGAGAUAGAGCCUUCCCCUUCGGGGGACAAAGUGACAGGUGGUGCAUGGUUGUCGUCAGCUCGUGUCGUGAGAUGUUGGGUUAAGUCCCGCAACGAGCGCAACCCUUAAGCUUAGUUGCCAUCAUUAAGUUGGGCACUCUAGGUUGACUGCCGGUGACAAACCGGAGGAAGGUGGGGAUGACGUCAAAUCAUCAUGCCCCUUAUGAUUUGGGCUACACACGUGCUACAAUGGACAAUACAAAGGGCAGCUAAACCGCGAGGUCAUGCAAAUCCCAUAAAGUUGUUCUCAGUUCGGAUUGUAGUCUGCAACUCGACUACAUGAAGCUGGAAUCGCUAGUAAUCGUAGAUCAGCAUGCUACGGUGAAUACGUUCCCGGGUCU
rnacentral:rRNA from 1 species